rnacentral:sRNA from 2 species
ACCCCACUACUGUAUUCUUCUUCCUCUGCUUUUGUAUUGAUUUCUAUUCUUAACUAUUCUUAUUCUUAUCCAUCUACUUUGAAAUUCUUGCAUCUUCAUAUAAGUGAGAAAGACUGAUAAUGAUCUCUGCUGCUGAUACUGCUAUUGAAGCAGCUGCUGCAUGAAAGCAGCUACAGCAUGAUUUUAUUAUAGAGAUGACAGCACAGAGAGAGAAUACACUGAGAAUCAGCAGACAAAGCAGAUCAAAGAAUACACAGAUAGUGUAUGCAGAAAAGCAGAAUGAAUGAAUAGUAAUAUAUAGAUUUAUUUUAUUUCUAUUUCUUCUUUAUUUCUGUGUAUGAAGAGAGAUGAAAUUUGAUAGACUAACUUCUCACUGCUGCUCAAUCUUCACUAUCUGUACAAUAAAAAUAAUAUAAUGAAAAGAAGUUUUCAGAUAAUCAGAUUGUCUCUGAGCAGAAGACAAUCUGAUUCUUUAAUAAGAG